rnacentral:lncRNA from 13 species
AUGUCUGAGGGUGUUGUCAGAAAAAUCCAGCCCUUUACCAUUGGGACCAGGCUGUCUGUCCCCUCUGAAGCCAAAUGCCAGGAGAUUGUGGAUGUCUAUCUGCCGAAGUCUGCUGCUCCGAACAAGUUGGAGCUGCAGAACAACCUACACGACCAAAUGUCCCUUUACAUGGGCCAGUCCCAGGGGUGGCCUGAGACUGGGAACUCGGAACUCCCACAAGUGGCCGUUCAGGUCUACGCUUCAACACCAGAGGGACAUCAGGAUGAGAGAGUGGAGGAGGACAGGAAUUCUGUGUCCCCCACUGCAUCCUCUAGGUCCAUCAGGAAGAUUGCUAUAUGCAGGAAUGCCGAGACAGUCCCCGACGUGUCCUUGUGUGACUCUGACCUGGCCACCUCAGUCAGUUCCACGUCGGAGACCAUCCGAAGCAACAGUGUUCACCCAAAACCGCCAUCCUUGAGAGUAGAGGACGACUUGGAUAAGAUAUCCAACUCUCAGUCUAAGGAUGGACAUCAGUACGAGACGCUUGACGUGGAGACCGACCACAAGGGAGAGAAGAGGAAGAGACUGCAACAGAUAGAAGGCAACAAAGUCCCUUCCCGAGAAAACACCGUUAACCAAACCUGCCUGAGGUUCCAGUCACUGUUAAGAAACUAUCACCAAGACCUCAAACUGGCUCUGGACGUCUCCUCCUUCUACCAACAGGCUGACAACAUCAUCUGCACCAUCAACAGGAAGAGAAGCGUCCUGUCUGGAUCCGAUAACCAGGGGAGCUGCGGUCAGACAGAGAUCUACAAUAUUGCCAGCCAAAUCACGAUGCUGAACGAGACUGUUUCACGCCUUUCGGACCUCCACCCUACCCUGGCUGCCAGAGUGACACGGAAACAGGCUGAGGUGCAGGAGAGUUGGGGCCUUCUCCAGGAGGGUAGUGGGAGCGAGUGGCCAGAUUUGCCCACCACCCUUGCCAUAGACUUCUCCUGUGAUGAACCUGGCCCACUGAGUCAAACCAGAGAUCCGGAACAUGAGGCCCAGAGGAUCAUAGGAAAGGACAUCAAAGAGGAACAGAACCCUCUCAAAGGGUUCGAGAACAUGAAAGACUGUGGGAUCCCCAGGAAGCUGACUGUUAGUCAAGUUGAAGAACAGCCUUCCAAAAGCUAUGCCCGAGUCUCCUGUGACACCACCAGCAAUGACUUGACUGGAAGACUGUGUGUGGAGAGGCAAAGAAAGGACCAGACAACCCAUUUGAACACCGGUUUUCCAGGUUGCCAAUCAGAACUUGGUAUUCAGUUGCAAAAUUCUACCACAUCUGCUGAUAAGUUGAAGACUCUGUCAUGGCUGAAAGACAACCUUGCUAUGUCAACCCCCAGCCACCACACAGCCAGUCUGAGUGGUCCAGAGGAAAAGCCAGAGUCAACCCAAGGCCAGCACCAAGAUUGUGUGAAGAUGGAAGACCUCCUUGGCCAAGUGGAAAUGUUAUGGGAAGUUCUGAGGGGAAGACUUCAUAGAAGCAUGAUUUAUUCAAACAGCUCUGAGAGGCUCAAGUUUGAGGGGGAUGACAAUCAUGAGACAGACAAGGAUCGGCUCGAGGGAUGCCUUUCAGAAUACAGUGCAACCACGGAAAACGUGCAAUUCUGGAGCGUCCCAGAUAUCAAGGAUCUCUCUGAGACAUUGGAGGAAAACGACAGAGGAAUGCUGACAGAGCUGCUGAGGUGUCUUGACCAGGAUGAAAACUUUGAUCAUUGUGAGGUAGAGGAACAGCACUCAACACUGACGCUGCGCAUCAACCAGCUCUUGUCCAGGUGUGCAGAGUUCAGCAUGGACAUUCUGGACACUGAGACGGACAUGGCAGUCAGAUGUGAGCCCUAUAGUUCUGAACUCGAGGGACUGCAGGAGCAACAGGAUGAGCUAGAGAGGGACUAUCAGGUCAUAAAAGAGGAGGUGGAAGAGAUGGAGGGACUGACUUUGCGACUACAGGUCCUCCUACCUGAAAUGCCAGGGGCUUUGGGGGAGGACAUCCAUGCGACCCAGCAUGCUUGGGAGGAGUUGGGCUUGAGCAUGGCAGAGAACCAAUGCAACCUCCAACAAUUUCAGCAACUGCAAGACUUUCUUAGGGCCUACCUGGCCAUGAUCUCAUGGACAGAGGACACACAGACUUGCAUUUUCUCAGAGGCUUCAGUCCAGCAGUGGAGCUUGGCAGAAUUGAGUGUUCCAUCUGAGCUGGAUCUGAGGAUAGAGCAGAAGUUUGACGAGUUUGACAAGCUCGCUGCUGCUGGGCAGAAGAUUAUCAAGGAGCGACAUCACUUGGCAGAUAUUAUAAAGGAGAGGACUGAGGAACUACAAAGCAUUCUGGGAUGGAUCCUGGUAUACUGGAGGGCACAGAAAGACCAGCUGGGUCAGGAGAGGCCAAGCGAUUCAAGAAGAAGUGAUGCCCCUCAAGGAGACGCAACCAGAUUUUCACAAGGUCAACCCCAGAAUCUAUCCUCUCUGGCAGAACACAAGUCCUCUGAAAGUCUGUCCACAAAGCACAGGCUCAUGGUGGCGAGCCAGUUUGAAGGACCACAAAAAUCCCAACCAGGGAUAGGUCACCAUGCAGAAAACUUUGCCAAUCCAGUAAACGUAACACGACACGUCCCCUUGGCUGUGGUAGUAAACUCGCCCAGCAUUAUCCUUGAAGAGCCCUGUGCUACUGUCACCCCACUGGGCAGCAGCAUCAACCUCAUCCUCAGUUUUGACCAACAGCCACCAGGGGGCGAUCUGCAACAGGGGCCAGUGGAGCCAAAGCAGGCAGGGGAACCUGUGCAUAGGGUGAGCACCUAUCUGCAAGUCACAGAUGGAAGUCCUGUUUUUGAAGACGUGGCAUCGUCUCAUGUUACUGACACGAGCCACGUGUCAACCACCUUUUCCACAAGCUCAAUCAACGCUACUUUCAUUCCCCAAGUCAGGACUGUCUUGCUCCCCACCUUACCCAGAACCAGUUCCACCUCUACCUUAAACCUGAAGGGACCGAUGAAGAGGAAGAAAAUGACACACAGACACACUGUGACUGGAAUUGUCGCAAUGCCCAAGCCAGAGGGGGUUACUACCGCGCCCACCAAUGUCAAACACAGGGCUUACACCUGGCCACUGGAGGAUAAGAAGGAAUGUCAUGCCACACAAGGGAGUCCAGGUAAUACAGAACUCCAACUGUAUAUCAAAAAUAAUUCUGUGGUGAGUGUCAUGGAUGGCAACUCUUCAGGCACGUCAAGCAUUCCUACCAUCCAGGGGCAUUUCUUGCAUGGGCCCAAUGAGAUGACCAUUAGGCAAGACAAGAGCCACUAUGGCAUUAUCCAUCUUGGGUCGAUGUUGAGUUUUGACCUGACUACGGAUUGCGGGAAAAUCUCACAGAUAAAUGCAAAAGACCUCACAACUGAGAAAGUGCCUUUUGAAGCCAAUGGAGACCAUGCCAGUCCACCUUUGAAUCUGUACAGACCAUCAGGCUCAAACACACUCGGUCAGACUCAAGUAUCAUCCAAAGUAAUUGGACAGACUUUUGCCCUCAGUCCAGAAAAGGAAAGGCAUCUUGAAGCUGAUGGGGACUGUAGACCGUCAGGCUCAAAUACACUCAGUCUAACUCAGAAAGUGAUUGGGCAGAAUUUCACCCUCAGUCCAGGGGAGGAAAGUAUCUGCGAAACAGUGGACUUUGCUGUUCAAAAUUGUUCACCUUUGAAUCUAUACAAAUUGGCAGACUCAAAUACACUCAGUCAGACUCACAAAGUGAUUGGACAUACUUUUGCCCUCAGUCCAAAAGAAGAAAAGAGCUGUGAAGUAGCUAGGCAGGACUCGCAGAAGGUCAGCUCAGAGUCUGUUUCUCUUUUGGUUCAGUGUCUCUCUCUACCUGAGAAAGACAACGUCUAUCAAGACCUAAAAAGCGCCACAAGGAGUCCUGCCCUUGCUGCUGGACAUGAGAACAUUUUCUCCAGCACUGUUGGCAUCCACCAUGAGGAUACGGUCGAGAUUUCCAUUCCAGUGGCUAUUUUGGACUCUAACAAGCAACGCACUGAAUCAAACUGCAGCAGCUCGAUGAUGCAUGACCACGCCCGCACUGAACCAUCACAGAACCACAACUGUUUAAGUGUUCACACUAAGAUUCAAGACCUCAAUAACCACAUAUACUUCCCUUCUGCAAAGAGGCAAUUCGCUUUCCAAAGUGACCUUCGAGUUGUAGAGAUCAAGGGCUUGUCUACUGGGUCUGAAGACUCCACAUGGAUGGGUGUGCGCAGUUCUGGACGAGUCAUUGUGUGCUAUGAGGACAACUGUUGCAUAUGCUCCGACAGUCCGGCACCUAUGAUGGUAUUGGAAAAAGAAACUUCACCCAAAAGAGAACCAGAUCAUAUUCAUCCUGAUCAUUGGCAGUUUGAGGAGGAGGAAGAGGAGCUGGAGGAUAUUUGGAAUUGCACAGCCCGGGAAAGAGCACCUUGAAUUACUGUGGUCCAAAAAUCUGAG